rnacentral:misc_RNA from 1 species
ACAAAGCGCAGAGGGAUGUGAUGUUACGGGCAGUGGAAGAGCAUCUCACUGGAUUGUGUGAAUGGACUGUGCCGAAGGGGGGAAUCUUCAUAUGGUUUAAGGUCCCAGGUCUCCGUGACACGACGCCCAUGCUGGUGAAGAGAGCUGUCUUGAAGGGCGUCGUGCUCCUUCCCGGGAAAGACUUCAUGGUCGAUGCCAAGAAGCAGUGCCAGUACAUGAGGGCGGCUUUUUCAUGCGCCACGAAGGAGCAGAUGUGGGAAGGGAUGGAGAAGCUGGCAGAACUAAUCCGAGAGGAAAUGGCACUACAGCAAGAUUCUCAACAUUAAGGGAUGUUACGCGUCUACCUCCAUUCCGAUACUGCAUUUGCAAUGAACACCGUAGGAAAAAAAAAGAAAAAAUGUAACUAGAAAAUGGAUCCAGAGUGAAUGCGUUUAUGUUUGGAAAUCACUUUGACGAUUGAUCGAGGAAUCAACUCCUGAAAUGGGCCUCCUCGAUUCCGAAGACGCCGAAGCACCGGCGCUUGGAUUGUAAACACCAAUGACCACAAAGAAUAAGGAUAA